GUCUGAAGAGAAGAAUGCAAUAUUCUUUGGACUUUACACAUGGGAAAUGACCAGCGCUUAGCAGGCCUGUCUAACAGUGGAGCCUCCUGGAGAAAAAAACGCUGCUCUUCCGUUUUACCCUUCCCAGAUGAUCCAGAGCCGGGUUUCAGUCUAAUGGACGCUUCAUAAUCCCCCUCUACAGUGUCCGAGCAGGAUGACGAAGGGCGACUUCCUCGCCGAUGCCCAUUAGCAGCAGGGGGGGUGAAAUCAGUAGGCAACGAAAGCACCUGGGAACCUGCUGGCUUGAUGGCUACCUGAGGCUGUGAGGAGCUGCCGAUGCGUUGACAAGGUCCAGUCCCGGCGCUGGUGGUGGACUCAAGCCUGGAGAAGGUGACCCCCUCUGCCUGGGGGGCUGGAUAGUGCGCAGCAUCAGAUCCCAAACUGGACGCCUCGUCUUUGCCUCUGGGUGCGCACCCACAGGGAUCUCUGUGCUGCGGGCCACCGUGCCCUGCCGGGUCCCCCCAACCUGGGUGGAAGGGAGGCGGAAGGUACCGCAGCAGUCCUGGCUGGUGGCGACUCAUCUCACUCCCAAAGGAGAAAUUCAAGGUCUUGGCCGAUUGUCCAAGACAUAGCGCAAAAAUAAGAAAAGUUCAAUGCUCUAGCAACGGCAAACGCUGCUGGCCUGAUUCUGACCUCCGAUCUGUGUACAUUAGCAAUAACCCCGAUGAAAUAAAUGGAGUAAUGGAGGUGUAA